GAGAGAAUUAACCAAUUACAUUAUUUUGCAAAAAAUUCAAACAACAAUCGUCCAAAUAUGUUAAAUGUCCAUUAAGUCCAUGUAAAUAUUCGUAAUGUCCAUUGUGUACACCGUCAUUGUCCAUAUACUUCGUUGUUGUCGUCUUCCAUGCGUUGUCAUCAUCAUCCGUAUGCUAUCGUCCAUCGUCUCCAUCAGUUGGCCGUCCCGACAGGAUGAGUUGCUUUCCCAUCAUUCUGCUUACAUCUUUGGUCUUUUGUGUUCAUUGCCUAGAAAGUUCUUCUCUUCUCUUCUGUCUCUUUCUCUCCCUGAGUGUUGCUGUGUAACUGUGUCUAAUUAUUAAAAACGAUAAUUUUUGAAGGAAAUAAACGAGGAACUUUCAAACAAGUUCCGGUUCAAACUGCGAG
rnacentral:lncRNA from 1 species